AACCCGGGGCGGGCGCUUCCGGGAGGCGCGGCGCGAGGCUGAGCCUUCGGCCGGCUUAGAGGGUUGGCGGGCGGGAAGGGGCGCCUCUGCGCCAGCCUCCGCCUCGCCGCCCAGGUGCGCACUGCUCGCCUCGUACCGGCGAAACGACUCGCUUUGUAGGAAAAAACAAUAGCGCGUUUUCAUUCACUGAACUAACACGGUAGUGAAGGCGGCGGCGGAAAGCAGGCGAUGCUGUCGCGCGGCGACCUCAGAGCAGCCGCGUGGUUCGCACCUGUUACCUGACACGGCUCCGCCGGAGCCCGAGAAGGGGGAGCAGAGCUUUACAUCCAUCAUGGAGCUUGAACCAGGACUCUGAGAUCAAGAGUCACACUCUCUACUGACUGAGCCAGCCAGGCACCUCUGAACUCUUCUUACCAAGCGUUUCUUGCAUAUGGAGCUGGAGUUUUAAGUCUUUCAAGAAGCAGACACCAAGGAGUUGGAAGUGCAAGAGAUUUACUGGGGGAAAUUCCUGUGAAAGAUAAAAGGAGGAGUAGGAAGUCUCCAGACCAAGAUAUAGUCUAACACCUUAGAAAAGAGAGGGAAAGUAGAAUAAUUGUGUUGGAGGAGGUUGAAACUGCAAUGUAACUCUGAGAAAGCCUCAGCCAGGUGAAAAAAAAGAGCUCUGGCACUUGGAGUAAAGAAGUGAUGUUAGAACAACAUGACCCUGGGAUUCUUCUAUAGAACAACUGCAAAAUAAGAUCAUUGCUUCAGCAACAAACAGAAGCUACUGAAAUAGCUGAAAUGUACAGAAUGCCUAGAAAAAUUGGCAGAUAUGAGCAAAGCAAAUCUGGAGGUUACAAAGCCUUGGAUAACAAAACAAGUAACAGAAAUUCUUGGGUUUGAAGAGGAUGUUGUGACUGAGUUUACAACCAAUUGGAAGUGAAGGACUGAACCAAAAUAGAAGUUACUCCUUGAAUUUAAGUAUGUAGUACCAUCACCUUAUUAGGUUACAGCAGAGUAAGCGUCCCAUUGUGCCUCUGACCCAACUCUUUUGGGUAUAUUUGGAGACUCCAGACUCCAGUAUUAUGAGAAUCAACCUGACUGGGUUUUUGAAUGGAAAAAAAAGUGCUGGAAAGUUAGUUUAUGGGAGAACUUUGGCUCCUCCUAUGCGACAUCACUGGAAUACAUUCUGCUUUCCCAGACCCGAAGGAGAAAUAAAGCAGAGGCAGAAUGAAAAGAAACAUUGGCAUUUAUGAAAAAGCAAGGUGAAAACAAAGAUAAAGAGCAGAAAGAAAGAAAAAGCAGCAGAGAGAGAGAAAGGAGAGAGUCUUCCUGAAGCCCAAGAAGACUCCAAUUCGUCUCUCUUUUCCCUAGAAGAUAAUCCUGCCCAGUGAGGAGAGAGAGAAAGCACAAUUAUGUUCAAUUUCCCCAUCAGAACCAUGAGCCAGAGUCCUUCCCCAGCCCCAGAAAAAGAAAAACCAGCAUUCCCAGAAUCUUCAAGAAAACUAAAAAGAACCUUCAGUACAAGUCACCACUUCAGUGACAUACUGAAAAUUCCCCAACCUGAAUCUGUACCAGAGCCUACGAACCUUUCCGGGGGGGGGGGGGG